GACCAUGCGCACCCACCCUACAUAGGAUGCCCGGAGGAUUUUUGCGGACACACACAAUCCACACGUCGGUGUCGCUCCAGGCAGUCGUCCUAGUCAGGACCAUCCAUCUCACCUAUAGUGAACAACUCACAUAAAUCCCUCAAUCCCCUCAUCAGGUAGCGAUCACCCUUAAUCGUCGGCUUUUUUUGAAAUUGUCAAAGCAAAAGUGUUGGAUUCCUUUUGGGGUUACAAAAUCACGGCGGAAACUUGCCCCGCAAUUGGCGGUGCUUAUGGAGACGGCACUACUAUUCAAGUACUUAUGGUCACCUAACCCUGAGGGAUCAGAAGGGACUAAACGUGGGUGUCUGUUGUUCUCCCUAUCUAACUAACGUGCCCUGAACGGCACGACGACAAUUCGAACUCACAAUUGACUACGGAUUGAGUGACACAUUUAGCGGUUGACGGCCGUUGAAAACAAUCGUGGCGUUCGACGCCUGUCCAUGGAAACUACUGGAGUCAAGGGAGGUUGCCCUUGAAGACUCCUAUUGCGAGGAACACGGCCCUUCCUGCGCUCGGCUAUUCGAAGGUUUGGAUCUGACUCACCGGCGGCAUCGGAUUCGCCUCGUGGCAUAUGGUGACUUCCUUAAGUAGAGGACAACUAUUUAAUUGAAAAUUUCCUUGGCGUUGACCUGCAGGCGAAUUGGUAUGGCUUCGAUUGAGCUAUGAUUUACAUCUAAUCAUGGUCCCCGCCAUAUUCCUAAUCCACUCCCGACUAGGGCCAUCGGACAUUAUCCGUGCAACAUCCCCCAAAAUUAUCGGCCUAUCGCGUUACCGUCAUCGACUCAAACUGCAACAUUUCCAAAUUCAUUUUCCAAAAGUAAUUCUGAAAAUGUAUUUUCCUCUCUUGUUAAAUUGAGAGCGUAAAAAUCUAAAAUAUUUUUAAAAUCGUGCAUAUUCGAGUACAUCGAAUACAUCGU
ensembl:ncRNA lncRNA:CR46250 long non-coding RNA:CR46250